GCACUUUGUUGGUCUCUCUUGUAUGUACAUUGAAAUGAGCCUUUUGAGGCUUAGCUGUCUGUGUGCAGAUGUAUCUGUUUUCUUUGAGCUGUGUAUGAGCAGCUUGUAAAGCCCAAAGGCAGCAAAAAUCUCUAUCUGCAUAAUUCAUGAUUUAACUUUAUUUCACCUUUGUUUCUGCCAGUGACCAAAGCUCUAGCGGACUUUGACAUGGCCCUAAGGGGAAAGAAGAGCGAGAAGUUCAUCAUAGAGGGGAAAAGGAAAGAGUUAUCGACCCUCCUUUGAGGAUAAGAAUAGGCAGAGAAUUCCAAGAAACAAGAAAGGAGGCCGCUUCAAGUCGAAGGCCAAGUUUCGAAGAAAGUAAGGGUCACUUCAAUGGGAAAAUGACAAGACAUGCAGUUUGGAUGGAUCGAUUCACCUUCAGUGUAUUUUUUAUUGACGUUAAAAGUAUCUUUCUUCAUAAAGCAGUGCUUUCCCACUUGUCAGUGAGGGCAUGAUAAAAAGACACUCACACAUGUCGUGUCUUUGGCUAUGCCGGAUUAAUUGAUAUGACAUGCUAUUCUAUGAAAUAAUUUAUCCGUAAUUAAUAUCACCUGAUUGAGCUAAUCAUGUAAAUGUAAUUAACUAG
rnacentral:lncRNA from 13 species